CUGCAGGCCAUGGUUUCCCAUCAAAAGCCUGUUCUCUCUCAGUUCUAAAGGUUGGAUGUCCGAGAUCAGGCCAGGGCAGGGCUGGUUUCCCCUGAGGCCUCGUUCCUUGGCCGUCUUCUCCCUGUGUCUUCACAAUGUUUUCCUCUGUGAGUGUAGGGAUCCCAAUCCCCUCUUCUGAAAGGAUGUGGCCAGACUGGAUGAGGGCUCGGCCCUAUGACCUCAUUUUAACUAACCACCUUGUAAAGGCCCUGUCUGCAAACACAGUCACAUUCUGAGGUGCUGGGGACUAUGGAUUUUGCGGGGACAUGGUUUAGUCCAUAGCAAUGUCCAGCACCAAAGUUUUGCCAUGUGCCCUUGAACGGAGCUACCUCCUGGCCCACCUUCUUGGGCACUGCUCUUGCUCCAACAUUGAGUUUAGUCCUUGAAGUCAUAAUUUCCUCUUUAGCCUUUGUAGUCUGUCACCCAUGAAAUCCUAGAAUUUCUGUUGCUAUCGGUAUGUCCGAUCUUUCUCCAUUUUAAAAUAGUUUCUCCCUGGCUUGCUGCGGUUCCGGCCCAUGGUGCUGUGUGCACAUGCAGAUAUAUACCCUUCUCAGUGGCAGUGGCCUCAUCUGCCUCUUUGUCUCAGAAGCCAUUCUGCACACCAUCUCUUCUUCCCUCCCUCCUGCCAUCCCUACAUUCUUUCCUUCGCUCCAUCCCAUCUUCCCACCUCACGCCCACUCUCCCCUUAAUACUUCACACUUGCUGAGAUGCUUCUGUAAAGCUGAGCUAAAUCACAGUAUUAAUUAUUUUCCCCUGCUUAAUCACCUUCAGAGGCAGCCCAGGAUGUGUUGAGUUACAUCGACUGCACAGCCCAUGUCUCUUCCACUUGGCUGUUCAGCGUGAUCUCCCCUCUCCUCGACACGGCCAGCCCACACCGGCCUCCGUGGCCGCCCUCCCCAUGGCAGGCAGGGAUGGAGGCAGGCUGAGGCACCUGUCCUCUGAGGCCUGCGGAGGCUCUCUCUCCUGUGCUUCUCUGAGGAUGUCGCUCCGCCCUACUCAAGGAGUACUAGACCCCUCUGUCUGCUGAGGUCAGCAUCCCAGAACACGGCUCCAGCUGACGAUUGCACUUGGCACCCAUAUCCUCCGUGCGACAACCUGGUGUCAGCAGUCUCGGAGCAGAGGUCUCCUCUGCACCCUCUUUAAUCCAGCAGCGUUCCUCAGAGCUCAGGAGCCACUCUGGACUUUUCUGGGCAACAUGAGGGCAGCUUUCUCAAAGCCCCUUCACCAGGGCCCGCAGCAGCAGCGGAGAGCAGACCUACAGGUACCAACAAAUUCUACCGUAGGAGAGGAGUUUUUGAAAAAG
rnacentral:lncRNA from 1 species